CUGGAAACGGUAGCUAAUACCGCAUAACGUCGCAAGACCAAAGAGGGGGACCUUCGGGCCUCUUGCCAUCGGAUGUGCCCAGAUGGGAUUAGCUAGUAGGUGGGGUAACGGCUCACCUAGGCGACGAUCCCUAGCUGGUCUGAGAGGAUGACCAGCCACACUGGAACUGAGACACGGUCCAGACUCCUACGGGAGGCAGCAGUGGGGAAUAUUGCACAAUGGGCGCAAGCCUGAUGCAGCCAUGCCGCGUGUAUGAAGAAGGCCUUCGGGUUGUAAAGUACUUUCAGCGGGGAGGAAGGGAGUAAAGUUAAUACCUUUGCUCAUUGACGUUACCCGCAGAAGAAGCACCGGCUAACUCCGUGCCAGCAGCCGCGGUAAUACGGAGGGUGCAAGCGUUAAUCGGAAUUACUGGGCGUAAAGCGCACGCAGGCGGUUUGUUAAGUCAGAUGUGAAAUCCCCGGGCUCAACCUGGGAACUGCAUCUGAUACUGGCAAGCUUGAGUCUCGUAGAGGGGGGUAGAAUUCCAGGUGUAGCGGUGAAAUGCGUAGAGAUCUGGAGGAAUACCGGUGGCGAAGGCGGCCCCCUGGACGAAGACUGACGCUCAGGUGCGAAAGCGUGGGGAGCAAACAGGAUUAGA
rnacentral:rRNA from 1 species